rnacentral:lncRNA from 1 species
AAGAAACUCAGUCGGUCACAAAUAACAAUCUACUUUUAUGUGCUGUCUACAGUCAACAUUACUCAACAAGAUACAACAAUUUCUAAAGAGAAAUUUGGCCCUAUCGGAUACAAAAUAUAAUGAAAUAAGACUCAAAUUUUAGUUUUGUUUCCCCCGUCAUUGGAGAAAUGAAAUGAAUUCUUGCUGUCCCGACACCUUACUCAAUUCUUCUAAGAUGUUCAAGAGAAGAAUAGUGUAUUGAUUUUAUCACACAAAAUUAACAAUCAAAUGUUCGCACACAUACAACAGCAAUCUUGUCAUGGAACAAAAACAAGCAUGUUCAUUUGGCGUAACGGACUGUGCUCAACAGAAUUAAAGAAGAAAAAUAAAUUAAAAUCUAAUUCAUUUUACUACGCAGCGCUGUCUAAGCUGCAUACCAAGCAUAACCUAAAUGGUUUGACAUAAACUAUAGAGACAAAAUUUUUGCUUCCCCAGAAUUGAAGAAACCAAAUGAGCAAGCCAGAAUACACAAAUCCUUAUAACCAAAUCUGAACCAGAGCUUCAUUCCCGUUCACACGUAAACACGACUUCUCCAGCAAGAAACCGUCUGCUUUGUGAUGCUGGACUAAUUUAGGCAAGCACUUGGAAGUGGGAACCAAUAUUGUGGCCACUUUGGAUACGUGCGCUUGUAUAAACUCAUGCAGACUGUGUCAUGCUGCUGGAGGACCCCGUUGAAAACACAUUUCAUUGCCCCUGAAAAAAGAUUCGGAGAGAAUUUGUAAUCCGUUAA